ACUAGAUUGAGGCCAUUUUCCAAAAGAGCAGUUACUAGGUAAAAUGUAGAUAUUAAGAACUGUAUAAUGAUAAAUUUCCUUGAUAAUUAAUUACAGUCAUGAAGCACAUAAAAUAUGGUUAAUAAUUUGCACUUUAGUUUGAUUUUUUUUCUGACUCUGGUGAUUAAUCCUCUUUCUUAUGUUCCCUUUGCUAGAUUAACUGCCAGUCUUUUUCUUUAGGUGAAUACUUAGAAGCUAUGAUCAAGUCAUCUUUCAAACUGCAUUUCAUCUCUGAGAAAUCAGAUGGAGUUCUCCCAGCAAAGAUCUACCCCCCGCUAUACAUCUGUAAACCCACCUGUUUUUAUUCACUGUUUCCCAUCCAGCAGGGAAUUAUUUUGCAUAUAUUUUGGUCCAUGAGCACAGAAACCAUAUUAAGUCUGGAAAAUGAAGAAAGGUCCUUAUAUAUUCUGAAUGAAGAUAAACAUGUUUAAUUCAGCACAUUAUAUCUAUCCUGACGUAAGUAUUGGUCGUGGUGAAAACUCCACAAAACUCAUUUUAUCUCUUGGUCUUUGGGUCUCUGAGCAAUCACUGACUAAUUCCUUGAAAGUGGGCUGGAUACAGAAGCUGGACUUCCUGUGGUUAGUCAUAGGAGCAAGUAAGUAUGAUCUUUGCCAUUUUGCCUCAGUGCUGUGUUCCUUUUGAUGGUGGGUAGGGCAUGUAAAAAUGGAUGAAGCUAACAGCAUUGAAUGCUCUAAAAUUGGUUGUAUACAUUCUGUGCUGAAAGAGAAAAUGCAUGUUUUUCAGCCCUUAUGUUAAUGAACUGUCUAGGGGCAACACACUAAUUUAUCAUUAAGAAACAUGCAGCUCCAGCAAUAAGUAAAGCAUUAGGACUCCAGGCAUGAUCAGGUAAGUGCUUCAGAGCCUGGAUAUGCUGAUUUUAAAAGUUCAGCUGAGAUGUGUAAUUGAUUGUGUGAGUGCAAAAUUAAAUGGGCUCACUAAAAUGUCCUCCGUUUAAAAAAAAAAAAAAAAAAGCGCAUUCCAUAUUUUGGAGAUACAGGAGUCCCUUGCUUUAUUUAAGGAAAAUGUUGUGGCUUAUCCUGUGCAAGCAGGUGUAUGGGGAUUUAUUUUUCCUCUGGGCAGGACACCUAAGAAAGACGUUGCAGAGCAUUUGAUGACUGAGUUGUCUUUCCUUACUCUCCCUUGAAUGGAGAAUUAACUGAAUGGAGAAUUAACUCAAACAAACAAAGCUGAUAUGUAGAAACUAGAAAAAUAGAGCAAGAAAUGGGAGCAAGUUGAGAAAAAAUGCAGGUUAAUUUCCCCCUGGAGUGUAGGGAAAGAUGUAGGGACAUAACUGUGCCCUUACACAAUUUUCUUCCUGCUCUGUUCCCAUGGUAUUACAGCUUUUUGCUCUCCUGCUACUGACUGCCAGAGAACUUUCAGUCUCACCCUACAUUACUGAAUCUCAGUAACAGAGAUUUAUUCUUUAUAACUGAAAUCUGCACGCUUCCAACUGAAGUGUGUAUCCAUAAAUGAAUCACAAUAAAAUAAAAAUAAUUCAAACA
rnacentral:lncRNA from 1 species